UACGUAGGUGGCGAGCGUUGUCCGGAUUUACUGGGCGUAAAGAGCGCGCAGGCGGCUGGUCAAGUCCGAUGUGAAAUCUCCCGGCUCAACUGGGAAACUGCAUCGGAAACUGAUCGGCUUGAAGAUGGGAGAGGGUAGUGGAAUUCCCGGUGUAGUGGUGAAAUGCGUAGAUAUCGGGAGGAACACCAGUGGCGAAGGCGACUACCUGGCCCAUUCUUGACGCUGAGGCGCGAAAGCUAGGGGAGCGAACGGG
rnacentral:rRNA from 1 species